rnacentral:rRNA from 1 species
CGAAGAACCUUACCAGGUCUUGACAUCCAACGACCGCCUAAGAGAUUAGGCUUUCCUUCGGGACGUUGAGACAGGUGGUGCAUGGUUGUCGUCAGCUCGUGUCGUGAGAUGUUGGGUUAAGUCCCGCAACGAGCGCAACCCUUAUUACUAGUUACUACGCAAGAGGACUCUAGUGAGACUGCCGUUGACAAAACGGAGGAAGGUGGGGAUGACGUCAAAUCAUCAUGCCCUUUAUGACCUGGGCUACACACGUACUACAAUGGCUAU